CCCCCGAUAGCUCAACGGUAGAGCACUCGGCUGUAGACAAUUGUCUAACGCAGACUUUCCAUAAGGAUGGAAACAGGAUGAUGCGCGAGCGGAGUAUGUUCGUCAGAACAUGAUAGAACCCGAGUUACCCAAGUUCGACUCUUGGUCGGGGGA
rnacentral:tRNA from 1 species